rnacentral:ncRNA from 1 species
CCCUGGUAGUCCACGCCGUAAACGAUGCACACUAGAUCGGAGGAGGUCUGACCCUUUUCCGGUCGAAGCGAAAGCGUUAAGUGUGCCGCCUGGGGAGUACGGUCGCAAGGCUAAAACUCAAAGGAAUUGACGGGGGCUCACACAAGCGGUGGAGCAUGUUGCUUAAUUCGAGGCAACGCGAAGAACCUUACCUGGGUUUGACAUGCACGGAUUAACUCUGUGAAAGCAGAGCCACGCCCGCAAGGGUGGAACGUGCACAGGUGCUGCAUGGCUGUCGUCAGCUCGUGCUGUGAAGUGUCGGGUUAAGUCCCUUAACGAGCGCAACCCCUAUCGUUAGUUACUAACGCGUCAUGGCGAGGACUCUAACGAGACUGCCGGUGUCAAACCGGAGGAAGGUGGGGAUGACGUCAAGUCCUCAUGGCCCUUACGCCCAGGGAUGCAAACGUGCUACAAUGGCGUGUACAGAGCGAUGCUAACCUGCGAAGGUAUGCAAAUCGCAAAAAGCACGCCCCAGUUCGGAUUGCAGGCUGCAACUCGCCUGCAUGAAGCCGGAAUCGCUAGUAAUCGGAGAUCAGCUACGCUCCGGUGAAUACGUUCCUGAGCCUUGUACACACCGCCCGUCAAGUCAUGGAAGCCGGGAGCGCCCGAAGUCGCCACGAUUCAGUGGUGCCUACGGCGAGUUCGGUAACUGGGACUAAGUCGUAACAAGGUAGCCGUAGGAGAACCUGCGGCUGGAUCACCUCCUUU